UACGUAGGGGGCAAGCGUUGUCCGGAAUUAUUGGGCGUAAAGCGCGCGUAGGCGGCCACUUAAGUCGGAUGUGAAAGCCCCUGGCUCAACUGGGGAAGUGCACCCGAAACUGAAUGGCUUGAGUGCGAAAGAGGGUCGCGGAAUUCCCGGUGUAGAGGUGAAAUUCGUAGAUAUUAGGAAGAACACCAGUGGCGAAGGCGGCCAACUGGCCGAUACUGACGCUCAUGUGCGAAAGCGUAGGGAGCGGAACAAGAU
rnacentral:rRNA from 1 species